AGGCUAUUAGCUCAAAUGGUAGAGCAAUGUGCAAUAACGUACAUGGUGUGGGUUCAAGUCCUGCAUAGCCUA
rfam:Spinacia oleracea cultivar SynViroflay scaffold10936.con0001.1, whole genome shotgun sequence.